AGGGGGGGGUUAUUUUACGAUGCUCUCCAUGGCUGGAUUUGGAGCACCGUCUAACACGGAUCCUAAACAACAGUCACGUACCAUAGCAAAAAUGAUAACGCAAGCUGUUUCCCCCUGUGUAAUGGAUUCUCCCAACUUGCCACGUGUCACGCCUGGUUAGUAGGCUGCCGCUGUCGUCAGUUGCGCAGAAGCACUGCAGGUGCGUGAAGGUCAUAGGUACACACGGACAGGACUUGUGAUAUACUGACGCUAUUUCGCAUCGAAAUUGUGUGUUGCUAUUGUUGAAACAUUUAACAAUGUCUACCCAGUGAAGUGGUGAAAUUACACAGAAACAUUCGUGGAAUGUUUUGGCGAAUCAAGGAGAAGAAGCCGGUGAGCAUGACGGCGGUGAGGCGCUCAGCGAAGGUGAUUGCGAAUGGAAUGAUGAUAGAGAGG